GACGAAGGGGGCUAGCGUUGUUCGGAAUUACUGGGCGUAAAACGAGUGUAGGUGGUUUUCCAAGUUGGAUGUGAAAGCCUUGGGCUUAACCCAAGAAAUGCAUUCAGGACUGGAAGACUAGAGGACCGGAGAGGAUAGUGGAAUUCCCAGUGUAGUGGUGAAAUACGUAGAGAUUGGGAAGAACACCAGUGGCGAAGGCGGCUAUCUGGACGGUUUCUGACACUAAGACUCGAAAGCGUGGGGAGCAAACAGG
rnacentral:rRNA from 1 species